rnacentral:rRNA from 1 species
UACAGAGGGUGCGAGCGUUAAUCGGAAUUACUGGGCGUAAAGGGUGCGUAGGUGGUUAUUUAAGUCAGAUGUGAAAGCCCUGGGCUCAACCUAGGAAUUGCAUUUGAUACUGAGUAGCUAGAGUAUGGUAGAGGGAAGUGGAAUUUCCGGUGUAGCGGUGAAAUGCGUAGAUAUCGGAAGGAACAUCAGUGGCGAAGGCGGCUUCCUGGACUAAUACUGACACUGAGGCACGAAAGCAUGGGGAGCGAACAGG